rnacentral:rRNA from 1 species
AUUGAACGCUGGCGGCAUGCCUUACACAUGCAAGUCGAACGGUAACAGGUCUUCGGAUGCUGACGAGUGGCGAACGGGUGAGUAAUACAUCGGAACGUGCCCGAUCGUGGGGGAUAACGAAGCGAAAGCUUUGCUAAUACCGCAUACGAUCUACGGAUGAAAGCAGGGGACCGCAAGGCCUUGCGCGAACGGAGCGGCAGAUGGCAGAUUAGGUAGUUGGUGGGAUAAAAGCUUACCAAGCCGACGAUCUGUAGCUGGUCUGAGAGGACGACCAGCCACACUGGGACUGAGACACGGACCAGACUCCUACGGGAGGCAGCAGUGGGGAAUUUUGGAAAAUGGGCGAAAGCCUGAUCCAGCCAUGCCGCGUGCAGGAUGAAGGCCUUCGGGUUGUAAACUGCUUUUGUACGGAACGAAAAGACUCUGGUUAAUACCUGGGGUCCAUGACGGUACCGUAAGAAUAAGCACCGGCUAACUACGUGCCAGCCGCCGCAGUAAUAC